rnacentral:rRNA from 1 species
UGCAGUCGAACGAACUCUUCGGAGUUAGUGGCGGACGGGUGAGUAACACGUGGGAACGUGCCUUUUGGUUCGGAAUAACUCAGGGAAACUUGUGCUAAUACCGAAUGUGCCCUUCGGGGGAAAGAUUUAUCGCCAUUAGAGCGGCCCGCGUCUGAUUAGCUAGUUGGUGAGGUAACGGCUCACCAAGGCGACGAUCAGUAGCUGGUCUGAGAGGAUGAUCAGCCACACUGGGACUGAGACACGGCCCAGACUCCUACGGGAGGCAGCAGUGGGGAAUCUUGCGCAAUGGGCGAAAGCCUGACGCAGCCAUGCCGCGUGAAUGAUGAAGGUCUUAGGAUUGUAAAAUUCUUUCACCGGGGACGAUAAUGACGGUACCCGGAGAAGAAGCCCCGGCUAACUUCGUGCCAGCAGCCGCGGUAAUACGAAGGGGGCUAGCGUUGCUCGGAAUUACUGGGCGUAAAGGGCGCGUAGGCGGAUCGUUAAGUCAGGGGUGAAAUCCCGGGGCUCAACCUCGGAAUUGCCCUUGAUACUGGCGAUCUUGAGUAUGAGAGAGGUAUGUGGAACUCCGAGUGUAGAGGUGAAAUUCGUAGAUAUUCGGAAGAACACCAGUGGCGAAGGCGACAUACUGGCUCAUUACUGACGCUGAGGCGCGAA